GUGAGUUGUCAGGGCCAUCGGCGCAGGAUUGCGGAGAGAGGGAUCUAUAUUUCUGUAGGGUGCCUUAUCCGGUCAUUGGUCUAAACUGGCAUCAUGGAUGAUGAGGAAGCGAGUGCACUGGCUGUACUUUUGGUGGCACUGCUGUCGAUGCUGGCAUCGAUAAGCUGACAGUGAAGACAACAUCAACAGAUGAUAGCAUGGCGGAUAGCUCCCCAAAAGUUUGAAAGAGGUACCAGAGAUGCGUGAGGAGAAGGAAGGGAAGCACAGACUGGUGGAUCAAGAUCGUUCUGACAUCUGAUAAUGACACUUUCCUGGAAAACUUUAGGGUUGGGCCAGUUCUGGCACCAAAUCCUGCCACUCCUGGACCUGCCGUGGAACUAAACUGCCGGGUGGUCAUCGCCAUAUAUGUUCUCUCCACUACCAUGGAGUUCAGGAACAUCGGGCACCUGUUCGGUGUUCAUAAGUGGACAGUCUUCUCAUUCUACAGGAAGUUUGUCCGCGCUCUGAUAACAGCAUGCCUGCAUGACUUCAUUCGGCUGCCAUCGGACGAGGAGGCCGCCGCCUCAGCCCAGGAGGCCUGGGAACGGACGGGAUUCCCUGGUGUGUGGGCUGCUUCUGGACGGCACCCAUUUGCCCAUAUCGGCACCAACAGAAGGGUACCAUGACUACACCAACCGUAAAGGGUGGCAAAGUUUGACAUGCAAGCUCUGGUGGACAACAGGGGAAGGUAGAUGUAAAAUGGUGCCUGCCACAUUUCAUCCUAGGAUGAAAUGCUUAGCCUACCAAACGUGUCCGGAUGCGACAAGUUGGAAUAUCUGUGUCCUAGAAAACCAAGAGGGUUGGUAGCACUGAAUGUAACGCUGAGACCCUGUUUCACCAUUGGGCUAAUAAACUGCAAUUCGUGA
rnacentral:lncRNA from 1 species